GGGUUGUGAGGUUAAGCGACUAAGCGUACACGGUGGAUGCCUUGGCAGUCAGAGGCGAUGAAGGACGUGCUAAUCUGCGAUAAGCGUCGGUAAGGUGAUAUGAACCGUUA
rnacentral:rRNA from 1 species